rnacentral:sRNA from 1 species
GCCAGGUGUGGUGGUGGGCGCCUGUAGUCCCAGCAACUUGGGUGGCUGAGGUGGGAGAAUUGCUUGAGCCCAGGAGGUCGAGGCUGCAGUGAGCCAUGAUGGUACCACUGCACUGCAGCCUGGGUAACAAAGUGAGACCUCAUCUCUA